UACGUAGGUGGCAAGCGUUGUCCGGAUUUACUGGGCGUAAAGAGCGCGCAGGCGGUCGGAUCAGUCGAAUGUGAAAGCCCCCGGCUCAACUGGGGAGGGUCAUUCGAUACUGUCCGACUCGAAGGCAGGAGAGGGAAGCGGAAUUCCCGGUGUAGUGGUGAAAUGCGUAGAUAUCGGGAGGAACACCAGUGGCGAAGGCGGCUUUCUGGCCUGUUCUUGACGCUGAGGCGCGAAAGCUGGGGGAGCAAACGGG
rnacentral:rRNA from 1 species